CCCUUAGAUGUUCUGGGCCGCACGCGCGCUACACUGACGAAUGCAACGAGCUUAUAACCUUGGCCGAAAGGUCUGGGUAAUCUCCAAAUUUCGUCGUGAUGGGGAUAGAUUAUUGCAAUUAUUUAUCUUCAACGAGGAAUGCCUAGUAAGCGCAAGUCAUCAGCUUGCGUUGAUUACGUCCCUGCCCUUUGUACACACCGCCCGUCGCUCCUACCGAUUGAAUGGUCCGGUGAAGCGUUCGGACCGUGGCCUUUGGACGGUUCGCCGUCUGUUGGCUGCGGGAAGUUCGUUAAACCUUAUCAUUUAGAGGAAGGAGAAGUCGUAACA
rnacentral:rRNA from 1 species